CCUCCCACUCUUUGUAUUCAAGCAACUUUUUAAAAUUUCAAAAAAAGAAUAAUUGACAAAGUUUAAGGACUUACUUGGUUACAAGCUAUUAAUAUUUUCUUCUUUUCUUCUUAUUCUCCUUUUCCUCAAACCACAAUCUAUUUUAGAAAAAUAAAUUUGAAACUAAAUAAUUUUUGUUAAAAAUAUAUUCACCUUGGAUUAUGAUUUAAACUUAU
rnacentral:lncRNA from 1 species